rnacentral:rRNA from 1 species
UACGUAGGGUGCAAGCGUUAAUCGGAAUUACUGGGCGUAAAGCGUGCGCAGGCGGCUAUGCAAGACAGAGGUGAAAUCCCCGGGCUCAACCUGGGAACUGCCUUUGUGACUGCAUAGCUAGAGUACGGUAGAGGGGGAUGGAAUUCCGCGUGUAGCAGUGAAAUGCGUAGAUAUGCGGAGGAACACCGAUGGCGAAGGCAAUCCCCUGGACCUGUACUGACGCUCAUGCACGAAAGCGUGGGGAGCAAACAGG